AUUGAACGCUGGCGGCAGGCCUAACACAUGAAAGUCGAACGAGUGGCGGACGGGUGAGUAAUGUCUGGGAAACUGCCUGAUGGAGGGGGAUAACUACUGGAAACGGUAGCUAAUACAGCAUACCAUCGGAUGUGCCCAGAUGGGAUUAGCUAGUAGUUGGGGUAAAGGCUCACAUAGGCGACGAUCCCUAGCUGGUCUGAGAGGAUUACCGGCCACACUGGAACUGAGCCACGGUCCAGACUCCUACGGGUGGCAUCAGUGUGUAAUAUUGCACAAUGGGCGCAAGCCUGAUGCAGCCAUGCCGCGUGUAUGAAGAAGGCCUUCGGGUUGUAAAGUACUUUCAGCGGGGAGGCGUUACCCGCAGAAGAAGCACCGGCUAACUCCGUGCCAGCAGCCGCGGUAAUUC
rnacentral:rRNA from 1 species